UACGUAGGGUCCAAGCGUUAUCCGGAAUUACUGGGCGUAAAGCGUCUGUAGGCGGCUUAACAAGUCAGGUGCGAAAUCUUGCGGCUCAACCGUAUAGACUGUGCUUGAAACUGUUUGGCUAGAGGUAGGUAGAGGCAAGUGGAAUUUCUGGUGUAGGAGUGACAUCCGUAGAUAUCAGAAGGAACACCAAUGGCGAAGGCAGCUUGCUGGGCCUUACCUGACGCUCAGAGACGAAAGCGUGGGGAGCGAACGGG
rnacentral:rRNA from 1 species